AUUUCAUCUGAGACACGGGGGCAGGGCCUCGGGUGCCCUGGAGCUGGGGGGCUGCCUGGAAUUCCCUGGAACUGGGGAUCUGCCUGAAUUCCCUGGAGUUGGGGAUCUGCCUGAAUUCCCUGGAGCUGGGGAUCUGCCUGAAUUCCCUGGAGCUGGGGAUCUGCCUGAAUUCCCUGGAUCUGCCUAAAUAUCGUGGAGUUGGGGGUCUGCCUGGAAUUCCCUGGAGUUGCCUAAAUAUCCUGGAGCUGGGGGUCUGUCGAAAUUCCCUGGAGCUGGGGGUCUGUCUGAAUUCCCCGGUGUCAGGGAUCUGCCUGAAUUCCCUGGAGUUGGGGGGGGUCUGCCUAAAUAUCCUGGAGUUGGGGGUCUGCCUGAAUUCCCUGGAUCUGCCUAAAUAUCCUGGAGCUGGGGGUCUGUCGAAAUUUCUUGGAUUUGGGGAUUGGCCUAAACUGGGAAUCUGCCUCAAACUUCCUGGAGUUGAGACCUGCCCAGAUUCUGGAUGUGGGAUCUGCCUGAAUUUCCUGGAAUUGGGGAUCCCCACAAGUUCCCCGGAGCUGGAGCUCUGCCGAAAUAUCCUGGAUUUGGGGAUGUGCUUAAAUUCCCUGGAGUUGGGGCUCUACCUAAAUAUCCUGGAUUUGGGGAUGUGCUUAAAUUUCUUGGAUUUGGGGGCUCUACCUGAAUUCCCUGGAUUUGGGAAUCUGCCAAAAUUUCUUGGAUUUGGGUGCUCUGCUUGAAUUCCCUGGAGUUGGGAUCUGCCUGAACCUCCUGGAUUUGGGAAUCUGCCGAAAUUUCUUGGAUUUUGGAAUCUGCUUGAAUUCUCCGGAGUUGGGAUCUGCCCAAAUAUCCUGGAUUUGGGGAUGUGCCUAAAUUCCCUGGAGUUGGGGGGGUCCACCCAAAUAUCCCGGAUUUGGGGAUUUGCUUAAAUUUCUUGGAUCUGGGGGUUCUAUGUGAAUUCCCUGGAUUUGGGGAUCUCCCCAAAGCUGAGCUGCUUUCUUGGGGUUUUUUUCCCCCCGUUAAUUUACAGAGCCAAGCAGGGGAGGAAAAUCAUCCAGCGUGUGCCCAG
rnacentral:lncRNA from 1 species